CCGGCGCACGGGUGAGUAACACGUAUCCAACCCGCCGUCUACUCUUGGACAGCCUUCUGAAAGGAAGAUUAAUACAAGAUGGCAUCAUGAGUUCACAUGUUCACAUGAUUAAAGGUAUUCCGGUAGACGAUGGGGAUGCGUUCCAUUAGAUAGUAGGCGGGGUAACGGCCCACCUAGUCUUCGAUGGAUAGGGGUUCUGAGAGGAAGGUCCCCCACAUUGGAACUGAGACACGGUCCAA
rnacentral:rRNA from 1 species